GAAAUGCGAUAAGUAAUGUGAAUUGCAGAAUUCAGUGAAUCAUCGAAUCUUUGAACGCACAUUGCGCCCGCCAGUAUUCUGGCGGGCAUGCCUGUUCGAGCGUCAUUUCAACCAUCAAGCCCCCGGCUUGUGUUGGGGACCUGCGGCUGCCCGCAGGCCCUGAAAAACAGUGGCGGGCUCGCUGUCACACCGAGCGUAGUAGCAUACAUUCUCGCUCAGGGCGUGCUGCGGGUUCCGGCCGUUAAACGACCUUCAUAACCCAAGGUUGACCUCGUAUCAGGUAGGAAGACCCGCUGAACUUAAGC
rnacentral:misc_RNA from 1 species